rnacentral:rRNA from 1 species
CCUACGGGAGGCAGCAGUGGGGAAUAUUGGGCAAUGGGCGCAAGCCUGACCCAGCAACGCCGCGUGAAGGAAGAAGGCUUUCGGGUUGUAAACUUCUUUUGACAGGGAAGAGCAGAAGACGGUACCUGUCGAAUAAGCCACGGCUAACUACGUGCCAGCCGCCGCGGUAAUACGUAGGUGGCACGCGUUGUCCGGAUUUACUGGGGGUAAAGGGCGUGUAGCCGGGCUGACAAGUCAGAUGUGAAAUCCGGGGGCUCAACCCCCGAACUGCAUUUGAAACUGUUGGUCUUGUGUAGCGGAGAGGCAGGCGGAAUUCAUGGUGUAGCGGUGAAAUGCGUAGAGAUUAGGAGGAACACCAGUGGCGAAGGCGGCCUGCUGGACGACAACUGACGGUGAGGCGCGAAAGCGUGGGGAGCAAACAGGAUUAGAUACCCUUGUAGUC